rnacentral:rRNA from 1 species
UGAGCGGCGGACGGGUUAGUAACGCGUGGGAACGUACCCAGAUCUAAGGAAUAGCCACUGGAAACGGUGAGUAAUACCUUAUACGCCCUUCGGGGGAAAGAUUUAUCGGAUUUGGAUCGGCCCGCGUUAGAUUAGGUAGUUGGUGGGGUAAUGGCCUACCAAGCCUACGAUCUAUAGCUGGUUUUAGAGGAUGAUCAGCAACACUGGGACUGAGACACGGCCCAGACUCCUACGGGAGGCAGCAGUGGGGAAUCUUAGACAAUGGGGGAAACCCUGAUCUAGCCAUGCCGCGUGAGUGAAGAAGGUCUUAGGAUCGUAAAGCUCUUUCGCCAGGGAUGAUAAUGACAGUACCUGGUAAAGAAACCCCGGCUAACUCCGUGCCAGCAGCCGCGGUAAUACGGAGGGGGUUAGCGUUGUUCGGAAUUACUGGGCGUAAAGCGCGCGUAGGCGGAUCAGAAAGUUGGGGGUGAAAUCCCAGGGCUCAACCCUGGAACUGCCUCCAAAACUCCUGGUCUUGAGUUCGAGAGAGGUGAGUGGAACUCCGAGUGUAGAGGUGAAAUUCGUAGAUAUUCGGAAGAACACCAGUGGCGAAGGCGGCUCACUGGCUCGAUACUGACGCUGAGGUGCGAAAGUGUGGGGAGCAAACAGGAUUAGAUACCCUGGUAGUCCACACCGUAAACGAUGAAUGCCAGUCGUCGGGUAGUAUACUAUUCGGUGACACACCUAACGGAUUAAGCAUU